AACGAACGCUGGCGGCAUGCCUAACACAUGCAAGUCGAACGAGACCUUCGGGUCUAGUGGCGCACGGGUGCGUAACGCGUGGGAACCUGCCCUUAGGUUCGGAAUAACUCCCCGAAAGGGGUGCUAAUACCGGAUAAUGUCUUCGGACCAAAGAUUUAUCGCCUUUGGAUGGGCCCGCGUUGGAUUAGCUAGUUGGUAGGGUAAAAGCCUACCAAGGCGACGAUCCAUAGCUGGUCUGAGAGGAUGAUCAGCCACACUGGGACUGAGACACGGCCCAGACUCCUACGGGAGGCAGCAGUGGGGAAUAUUGGACAAUGGGCGAAAGCCUGAUCCAGCCAUGCCGCGUGAGUGGUGAAGGCCUUAGGGUUGUAAAGCUCUUUUACCCGGGAUGAUAAUGACAGUACCGGGAGAAUAAGCUCCGGCUAACUCCGUG
rnacentral:rRNA from 1 species